AUCAAAUGUUUGGAUACCAGUAGGUGCUCUGUGAAAGUAAUCUUGAAUGAUGAAUGAAGGCCCAGGCAGAAGUCUGAAUUUUAAGAGCAGAAAUCUCCAGCCUGAAGUCUCGCUAUGUCCAGAAAGUCAUCCAUAUGGAACACCCUGAAGAGGCAAUGGACCAGCUAACAGAAGAGCUCCAAGCAGCCCUGGACAAUCUGAAGAGCCAGACGGGGAAAAUACACAAGUGUGACGAAGAAAUUGAGAGAUUAAGAGAGAAAAUGGACAGCCACCAAAAACGGUGCUGGCAGGCUCAGUCUUUCAGAGAGCAAAAUGAGGCAUCAGCAUAUAGAGGCCCAAAAAUGGGUGGUCCAGCUGCACAGGAAGUUCCCGGAAGGGCCAAGUCUGGAUCUCACCGUUCAGUUUUUGCAUUCAUAUUUCUACUUCAAUUCCUA
rnacentral:lncRNA from 1 species